AGCGUACCAUGCAGUCGAGCGGAUGACGGGAGCUUGCUCCUUGAUUCAGCGGCGGACGGGUGAGUAAUGCCUAGGAAUCUGCCUGGUAGUGGGGGACAACGUUUCGAAAGGAACGCUAAUACCGCAUACGUCCUACGGGAGAAAGCAGGGGACCUUCGGGCCUUGCGCUAUCAGAUGAGCCUAGGUCGGAUUAGCUUGUUGGUGAGGUAAUGGCUCACCAAGGCGACGAUCCGUAACUGGUCUGAGAGGAUGAUCAGUCACACUGGAACUGAGACACGGUCCA
rnacentral:rRNA from 1 species